rnacentral:rRNA from 1 species
UAAGGAAUAUUGGACAAUGGAGGCAACUCUGAUCCAGCCAUGCCGCGUGAAGGAUGAAGGUGCUAUGCAUUGUAAACUUCUUUUGAACGGGAGAAAACCCUAGGUCGUGUACCUAGGCUGAUAGUACCGUUAGAAUAAGGGUCGGCUAACUUCGUGCCAGCAGCCGCGGUAAUACGAAGGACCCGAGCGUUAUCCGGAUUUAUUGGGUUUAAAGGGUGCGUAGGCGGAAUAGUAAGUCAGUGGUGAAAGCCUGUUGCUUAACAACAGAACUGCCAUUGAUACUACUAAUCUUGAGUACAUAUGAUGUGGGCGGAAUGUGCCAUGUAGCGGUGAAAUGCUUAGAUAUGGCACAGAACACCGAUUGCGAAGGCAGCUCACAAAACUGUUACUGACGCUGAGGCACGAAAGCGUGGGGAUCAAACAG